UCGCCUUCACGUGUUGCCACGUCGCCACUGAGCUCCCACGCAUAAAUAUCGCCCGUCCAUGUCCAUCUAUCGAUCUCAUCUCAUACUCACACUCCUCAACCUGUUUUAAGCUAGGGCAGCAGCCAUGGGUGUCAAGUGUGGUGGUGUCGUGUGGUGUCUCCUGCUCGCCGGGCUCCUUCUCCUGGCCGUGGCCUCCGCGGCGGAGCGGGACACGGAGAAGGAGGAGGAGAUCCGGUUGUGCAAGAAGGUCUGCGACUGGAAGGCGGGGGAGGACACCGGGAAGGCCAGGGAGUGCAAGGAGCAGUGCGAGCGCCGCCGCCACGGCCACGAGCUGCUCCAGGAAGACGGCGACAGCUUCGACAGCUGCGUGAGCCAGUGCCGGGGCCAUGGGGGCUGGUGGGGGAAGGAGCGGUGGGAACGGUGCAGGCAGAUAUGCAGGCAACGCCAAGAAGGGGAGGGGGGCGACGACGACUUCGACGAGGGCGACAACGCCGACGACAGGUGCGACAGGAUGUGCCAGCGCUACCACGACCGGCAGGAGAAGAUGCAGUGCAUGAAAGGCUGCAGACAUGGCGAGUCCGGCCUCCUCCGCUCCGACGAGGGCCACAAACACGGAGACCGCUGCCAAACACAGUGCAAGCGCUUCCGGCCCGGGUCAUACGACAGGCAGCAGUGCAUCGAAAAGUGCCAGUGCCAGCAGAAGGAGGAGGAGGAGGUGAUGAACCACCACGGCGGCGGUGGCCAUGGCCACGGAGACCGCUGCCAAACGCAGUGCAAGCGCUUCCCGCGCGGGUCGUACGACAGGUGGCAGUGCACUGAGAGGUGCCAGAGCCAUCAGCAGGACGACGAGGAGCUGAUGAACCACCACGGCGGCCACGAAAGCAGCAGCUGCGAGCAGAAAUGCCAGCAGCGACACCGCCACGAGUACGAUAGGCAGCAGUGCGUGCGAGACUGCAAAAGCGGCGGUGGCGGCGGCGCCGGUGGGCGUGGCCGCGAGGGCGACGAGCGCCAGCACGACAGGGGGAUGGUGGUCGAAGCCAUCCUCGAGGAGGUGUAACGGCUGGAUGAAAGUAGCCAGCUCUUUCCAGGAGCUCGACCUCUUUACCGGUCUUGCAUCUUGCUAUGCGUACGUGGUAGGUGCAUGUGUGAGCUACAAUAAAUUGCGGUAACUAGAAGUGGCUCUCCAGCCUUGGAGAGAGCCUGUGUACGAGGAAUCAAUCUGGAAAGCAAUGUGGUGAUGUGUCAUGUGUGAUAAAUAAAAUAAGCAAGGUUUCGAAAUUAAGCCCCCAAAAUAUCUGAAUCAGCUCAAGAUAUAUGUAGGUAUGUGGUUGAAUUUUUCUUUCACAAUUACUACGAAUACAUUUUCCUCCCAAGUAUUAUAGACCGGACUCAUGUGUAUGUACGGUAAAAUCUCUUGUUUUCAUGGUACCCGUCUCAAGCGUCCGGGCGGAUGGCUGACACAGGCGGGCACCUCAAACGAGUGUUAAACAUCUAGGGCUGAUCGGCACCUCUUCCCCGGACGUGUCCGUCAUGUCGGACUGACGAUAGGGUUCCACUCGGAAUCGCUUGAAAACUCGGUGGUCCGAAGCUCGUCUCCUUCGUCGGACCGAUGAUGUGGCGUGGCGCCGCUCCGGCGGGCCGUUUAGUGCCCUAGCCCAGUUAUUUAAACCGAUCAUGGGCACCGAAAUCAUAUACGACCACAUUUCUCCCCUCGUGUCCGCCGCCAGCGCACUUUCCAAUCGCCCUCCGCUACCCUAGUAGUCAUGCCUCCACGCCGGGUUAGGAGCUACCCAUAUCUAACGCCGGAGCGCUGGUUGCAACUCCUUGAGUAGGUUCGGGCAAGGCACGAAGACCGGAUCGCCGCGGGGCUACCUUCGGAUGCGGUGGAUCCGGAGGACUUGGAGGUGGAGGAUAUCGGGGAUGCUGGGGACGCGGAUCUGCAGGCGAUCCUCGAUUCCCUUUGGUCGAAACCGGAGGCGGAAGCCAACCGCAGUCGUCUGCAGGAGGCGGAGGCGGAGCACGCCGCGGUCUUCGAUAAGAUGCUCGCGUAUAUGGAUGAGGAGGAGCCGGAGCCCUUCUAUGCGCCCAUCUACCCGCCGCUCGGUACUGACAUCGUUGACAUCUCCGACGAUGAAGUGUAGCUAGCGUGUCCUAGCACGUAGGUUUAUUUUACAUCAUUUGUAUGGAUGUAGGGAAUUAAAUAUGAAAGACUUGGAUGCAUAGCAUCAAGUAGGAGGCGUGACCGGUCACUGUCCGUGGAAACGUCCAGUCGCAUCCGUGAACAUUUGAGGGGUUGAAUUUGCUGUUCGCGGCUGUAGAUGCUUUUCGCACCAAUUAUACAAAAUCAUGGCAAAAAAUAUUGGAGAUAAAAAAUAGUCAAGCACAUUUGUCAGCGCUAGUACCAUUACCAAGUGAUGGUUGUGGUGCGAAUCAACCUGUGGUUGAGUUGGUUAGGUGGACAGUGGUAUCCCCAACCCACCAGGGUUCAAAUCCUGAUGCUCGCAUUAUUUCUGGAUUUAUUUCAGGAUUUCCGGCGAUGCGUUUUCAGUGGGAGGAGACGUUUCCAUCGACGACGAGGCGCCUACGAUGACUUCGUAAAUCUUAAGAUGAUAUGCCGGCUCAGUCUCUCGGAGGUGUUCAUAGGGGUAGGGUGUGUGUGUGUGUGCGUUCAUAGGGGUGAGUGUAUGCGCGUGUAUAUGAGCGCUUGUGUCUGUACUGAUGCUCAAAAAAAAAGUGAUGGUUGUGGUUGAUCCAUGCUUGAAUAUCAAUAUUUUUGGUAUUGCUAAAUAUGUGUACCGCGCAUGACGCCAUCCUGACAUGAGCCUGAUAUGGCUCGUGUGUCCACGGGUGUGCCUCAAUUUGGGCACGUUAUAUGCUCGGCCCGACCAUUUUAUGAAGUGCUUGCAAUUCACUCGGCUACUUGAUGUGGGAUUAAAAUGUUGAGCUGCGUUCUCCGUCCUCCUUAAUUGUUAAAUUAAAUUAGAGCAUCUUUUUUUUUAGAAUCACCUGAGGGAGUUUCCCCACCAAAAUAUAUUACUCAAAGUGACCAAUACGCCAGAAGAGUGAUCCAUUUUACCCGGAAAAAAAAGUGAUCCAGUUUAUAAGAAAAACUGGAUCAAAAACCAUAACAAGUUAACCAUGUUUAUGGGAAAAACUGGACCAAAAACCAUACAAGUUACAAGAGAAAAUCAGAUAAAAUAAAAAGGACCGAAUCGAAAACCAUAACAAAUUGACCUUGUUUAUAAGAAAAACAGGGCCGGAGACCAUACAAGUAACGGGGAAAAGAAGAUAAAAAAAGGCACCAAGGACAAGGCACGGCCUACUUAGCUGACAUAAGAUCAUCACCAUGAAAUACACAAGUAGAUGAGGAGUACCUACGAGGGAUCACAAUACCAAGAUUUUGCAAACAGCCAAACCCAUUGGUAUGCGUACCAACCCCCACGGCACAACCCAGGAGCGUCCACAAUCAACAAGUGCCAAACAAACACGAACCUUGACUAGGAGCUCCACCAUAGAAGAUUGAACGAUUAGCAAGAUUGUGAGGCAUCAUGCGCCAUCGUUGAGCAAAGCUGAACCGAGACUACACCAUGAGCACGAACCUCGCUACAACGAUAGGCAUGAGACGGUCUUGAGCAAGCAACACUAGGGACGACACAAACACGCAAAGGCCAAGGGCGGAUGGAUGGCAGCGAAGGGCUCACUAUGACACCUUCAGGAAGGUGAACCACGUCCGUAGACCACAUCGGCAAUGGACUUUCGUUCGUAGCCCACACCGAACGGACCAGGUACAACUCGAAGGCCAUGCCCCCAAGAAGGGAAGUGACGCCGGACUGACGUCGCUGUGGUUAGCUGACGCUGGGGUCAGCAGGGAUUUCUCCCAGAGCAAGACCAGAUCCAGCCUGACAAGGCAACGGAGAAAGAUCACGGAAGACUUAGCAUUUAGUACUUUCCCAUAUCGACGCCUAUCCAUAUUAACCAAUUGACCAACUUGGAACAAUACUGGCGUGUUGACCCUCUCCUUUGUAGGGGUUACAGGCAAUGUGGGCGAUGGUGAUGAGAGGAAACCCUCCUCCUCCUCCUCCUCCUCCUCCAGCAUCGUAGUGAUGUGUCGACCAUCGUGCUCCUCCUAUGUUGUGAACUUGUCAAGUAGUUGUUUCUUAUGUUUUGUGUUCGUCGAUGGAUUAGAGUGAACUUGGGAACUAUGUUUUGAACUUGUCGGGAGCUAAGUUGUGAACUUGUUGCUAUAUAUGACUUCAGUUCGACCGUGAUGUCACUUUGAGUUAUCUAUAUGUCACACCAUGUAUAUUUGAUAUGUUUUAUGAAAUUAUGUCAAACAAUGUAUAUGUGUUGUUUGUGGAUUGCAGAGACUUAGGACAAAACAAAUGGUUGAUUGUUGUGUUGGUAUUUUUUUUUUCUGAGUACAUCACUCGACGGCACAAGGAUUUGACGAGUACACAUCUCGGCAGACGCGGCGCAUGGGUUCUGCAGGCAACUUCACAUCUUUCCCGAGAGCAUCAUCACUCAGAAAGACAUGCGACAUGGCAAGAGCUUAGCACACAUGAAGAACUCUCUCGAGUACGUUACCGGCCGUGCUUGAUAAACAUUUACUGCAGGGAAAAGGUGUUUUCGUAAAUAGUUUGAAGAGUACAUGAUUAUAGAGUCUCGGCAAAUGUGGACUGGACGUCACAGAGCCGUCAAUUGCAAACAGCCGUGCCACGUGGCUCGUCUUUGCCGUGUGCCGCAUUGCAAUCUCAGCAUUCUCUUUGUAUGCCGAGUGCUUUCGUCUAAGCCGAGUGUUGCCUAGAGGGGCUCGGUAAAUUCUCUCAUAUGCCGUGCACUAUUGUGUGCUGAGAGCCGUACUCGGCUUAUAUGUCUUUUGCCAUGAUCCCGUGUUCCCGCACUCGGCUUAGACAAAAAAACUCGGUAACAAUGAUUUUUCCAGUAGUGUGUAUGCAUGGAGGCAGGAGAACAUCCAUGCCGUUGAGACAAGGUAUGUGCUGCACCACCCAUUUGUUUUCGUGUUUUUUGUUUCUUAUCUCUGUUGACCCGACGCAAUCAACCGGAAUUGAGUUCGAGGAAAGGCAAGAAUUACAUCUGCCAUCCGCCCGAAUUGUUUUCCACACAACAGAAACCGUCAAGUUGUAAUCAUGAUCAGAAAGCCAUUGCUUGCAACAAUGAAACCGCUCAUGUGAUGAAGUCGCAUGGAAUAAGAGAUAAUGAGCAUACAAACAAACAAUGAAGAUAUACGAGUGCUCAUGAUUCAUAUGAUAAUUUCAGAUUGGAUUUGGUCUGUGGGAAGAGUUUUUUUAAGGGGAUGCGCGAUCUUUAGGACCUGAAGUGAAUCACAGCAGGAGAAGUCAUAACGAGCCCCUCUGUAAUCCUCUCCCUCAGCAGAUCCUUCUUCCUGCUCGUCCUUGUAUAUUUCGACAAACAAUCGUCCCUCUUGAGGCCGAAUUCUUCAGUGCAGAAGUCGCACACCUUCGUGUCAUGCAGAGAUAUCUCCUUCAUGUUCACCGCAACACUCAUGACACGCUUGACGUAUCUAAUGAAGCGGUGGGCGGAUUGGAAGCCGUAGAUGGUUAGCCUGGCCAGAUUCUCAUGCUUGAAAUCAGCACCUAGAGAUGGCUCCCAUUGCACAUCCCUUUUCUUGCAGUGAGCGCGCCGUGUCUCAGCACCGCACCCGUGAUCGCGCACCGAUAGGCACAUCUCCUCCAAGGAUGGCGCGUCUUCAAGAAAAACAAUGUCCAUGCGAUGUCGCACCCUUUGGGAAGAAAGUCCAGAUUCACGCGCCGUAGACUACCGAGCACUGGGCUGAGCCAUUUCGGGCACUCUGGCUGGACCCAUAUCUGGGACAAAUCGAACAAAGGGGUUGGUGAGUGCAAGAUGCACAUAAGUUACUUUCUCAAAUGAUAUAGACUAGACCGUAAACGAAAUAUAAUGUAAAACAGUCCAUAUUGCUACCAGAGAGAUCAUAUAUAACACCAUGAUUGGAGAUUUGGAGUGAGUUGAACACACGUACCAUUUCGCUUUGAAAGUCCAGAUGCAUAUCGCUAAUGGAGGUGACAUUAAUGAGCAGUUGGCUUAGCUCGAUUCUCUCGUCUGUAUCGUUCGAAAGAUAAGUAUUAGUGAGGCUUAGCAUCGAGAGCUGCGGGACAUAACCAAAAAAUAAGGGAUCUUCGUCAAAGGCCCAAUUAUCAUAGACCAUCCGCCGGAGCUUCGGCAGCCAGAUGAGCUCCACCGUGCCGAACCUGCCGUAGGAAAUCUCGAGCUCGACGAGGCGCCCGUGCUCUAGCUGCAGCACCGACUCGACGCCGCCGUCACACUCGAAGAGAUGCAAAGACUCCAGACGCUCACAUGCGGCAAGGAUGCUGGAGAUGGCGUCGGGGUCGCUAAACCUCAGGUUCUCCAGGUGCAGCCGUGUGAGCCCGGCGAAGGCCUCGGGGCAGGCGCGGAGGAAGGUGCUGAACCGCUUCGCGUAGCCGACAAGGUAGCCGUCGACGCACUUGUUGAAGUCCUCCGUGAUGAUCUUGAACUCGGCGGCGCCCACCCUGUUCAUCGCCAUGGCGCGGGCGACGGAGGGAGAUGCAGUCGUCGAGUUGCAGGAAGAACUUGAGCUUCAGCUUGCUGAUGGGCAUGUUGGGAGGCCUCGCGUCAAGGAUCCUGUGCGUUACGUGGGCGACCGAGCAGUUUGUCCGGGCCACCAUGGCCCUGCUCAUGCUGAAGUCGGCGUCCUCCGCGGCGGCGGGUAGAGCGGAGUAGACGUCGAUGGCGAUCCGGGAGAGCAUGGCGGGGAGGUGGAGCGUCCGCUUGGAGAGGAGUCAGGUCCUGACGGCGUCCAGCGCGCACACCCUGUCGAGGAUGUUGAGCAGCAUGUCGUCCGAUAGCUCGCUCAGCCUGUCAACCCCAUUACCGGCAGCUUCUUCAUGCAGCUGCAUGCAACCAGGGAGAUGCGUACGAUGAUGGUAGAUCUGUUCAUAAUCCGUCUGAGUUACAUCUAGGAGAGAAUUAACAAGAACAGCACUCAAGCACGACUUACAUCACCGUUGGUGUGGAGACCCUUCAUGGCGAUUGGAGGAGGGUGUUGCCGGCUACUAGGGCCGGCGGCGGCGUAGUACUUUCCUUGUGCAUGCAAAGGGGGGAAGAGGAGAUGGUUUAGGGACGUUUUGCAACCGGACUCUCAACCAAAAAUGCUAGACUUAGGUUAAGCCAUUUUUUCUAAAGACUUAGGUUAAGCCUUUUCAGUCCCCUAUAUGUAAUUCCCAUUCAUCCUAACCAAACGCCCAUACAUCAUCAUCUAUGAUAUGUAUCGCCCGAGAUAUAUUAAGGCUCGCCUACACAUGCGCUACAGUACUGGGCCGGCCCGUUUUCACCCGUUCUCGCUCGACCAUUUUCUUCAGAUUUUUUUCGUUUCCAUUUUCCUUCGGUUUUUCAUGAGUUUUCUUUUGUCUUUUUUUUUCAUUUUUUCUUCACCUUUUUCUUUUGGGUUUAUUUGUUCUUUUUUGGUUUCCUUUGUUUUCUUCGAUUUGUUUUUUGCUUCUUUGUUGGCUUCUUAUUGGGUUUUUUCUUUUGGGUUUAUGUUUUUCUUUUGUUUUUUUCACCAUUUUUCUUCGUUAUACUUUUGUUUUCCUUUGUUUUUGAUGAUUUUCUUCGGUCUUCCUUUGUUUUUGAUGAUUUUCUUCGGUUUCUUUUCUUUUUUCAUUUUACUAUUGAUUCCUUCUUGGUUUUCACCAUUUUUCCUUUUCUUCUUUUCGGUUUCUUUGUUGAGAGACUUGGUUUUCCCAGAGCACCUCAUGGUUGUGGUGGCGACCCUUGCACUGCACUGCUCCUUGUACUCCUUAGCCUUCCGUUGUCCUUCCACGCCUUCCAGUCGCAUUCCUUCUUGCACCUCGGAGGCCACGGCCAGGAGAAGGAG
rnacentral:lncRNA from 1 species